GGAGAGGUGCUGGAGUGGUCUAUCAGGCGCGCCUGGAGAGCGUGUGUCCUUCUCUGAAGGACCGUGGGUUCGAAUCCCACCCUCUCCGCCA
rnacentral:tRNA from 1 species